CUGGAACAAGGGGGAUGUCAAAUGCACUUUCCUUUCUCUAGGAAGGUAAUUUUCAUUUUCUCAGCUCACUUGGACCUGCAUAUCCUUGUGGUCUCCAGGUGUGAGAAAGGUGCAGGGAGAGAAGAAAAGCUACAGUUCCAGUGGCUGUUAUGGAGCAGAAACUUGAUAAAUGUGUAUGGUAGUUUAGAAAAAAAAAUGGCCACAAGUGUGUUGACACUGUCCCAUCAAGAGGUGGCGUUGAUGUUCUCACUCCUUGACUCUAGACAGACUUGUAACUACUUUGACCAAUAGAGUAUGAUGGAAGUGACACUAUGUGAGUGCUAAGACUAAGUCACAAAAGACCAUGCAGUGUUUACUUGCUUCUCUUGGAAUGCUCAGUCUUGUAACACUUGUGAACUCCAGUCAUCAUGCUGUGAGAAGUGCAAGCCACAUGGAGAGACCACAUAUGAGUGCUUCAGUUGACAGCACUGGUGGAGCCCAGUCUUCAAGUCAUCUCAGCCCAAGUACCAGGCAUGGGACUGAAGAGGCCUGCAGAUGUGUCAGCCCCCAGUUGUUGUAGUCUCCCCUGCUGAGACUCCAGACACUGUGGAACAGAGAAAAGCCAUUCCUGCUAUAUUCUGCUUUAAGUCCUGACCCACAGCAUCUGUGAGCUAAUAAAAUGAUUGUUGUGUUAGGCCACUAAGUUUGUGGUGCUUCAUUAUACUGCAAUAGAUAAGUGGAACAACGUGGACAGGAUGUGUACUUCUUGUCUAGGAGGUUGAGCUUCAUUCUCAGUUACAAAACCUAUAUGGGUGCCUGAAAGUCAUUUGAGUUCCAGCCCGCUGCUCUCCCUACCCAUUGAAGCUCAUGCUUGCUGUUAGCUGUGCAGAAACACUAACCAUGGGUAUCAAAGUGACACUGGCCCUAAUUGGUUGGAUGAUCUGAGAGACCUGAGGAGGGUUUCUGCCUAGUGUGGAAAUCUCCUCCCACAGACACUCAGGUUUGUCAAAAACACCUUGAAGAAUGUGCUCUCAAUUCUGGAUGCUGCUGGAAUACCGAAGAAUUCUUCCCAUGUGCAUCUAUGUUCAUUUAAAAAUAACUUUUAAAAUAUUAUUUAUUUAUUAUUUUUAAAAAUUUUUGAGAAAAGGUCUCAUUCUUUCACCCAGGUGGGAAUGCACUGACAUAAUUAUGGCUUACUGCAGCCUCGACCUCCUGGGCUCAAGUGAUCCUCCCACCUCAGCCUCCUGGGUAGCCACCAUGCCUGACUAAUUUUUUUGUACUUUUUUUUUGUAGAGAUGGGGUUUUGCCAUGUUGGCCAGGCUGGAAAAAUAUCUUUUAAAAGUGGUAAUGCAUAUUCAUUAUAUCAUGAACUGAAAAUACAGACAUACUCAAAGAAGAAAGCAAAAAACAUCUAUAAUGCCAUCCAAUGACACAUGCUGUUAACAACUUUCAAACUUCCUUUAUUGAGUGUAAAUCAUAUGACUCAUUUGUAUAUAAUAUAAUGUGAUGCAUAAUUAUUAUAAUAAAAUUCACAAAUAUAUAUAAUAUAUAUAUUAACAUAAUGGGAUUAUACUAUCUAUAUUAUUCUAUAACUUUCUUUAACCCAACUAUUGUUGAAAUUGUUUUGUGCCUCUGUAUAAAGCCCUAAUUUAUUUGUACUGAUUGCAUAAGAUUCAUUGUCUGAUUGUCUGUAGUUUAUUGCUUCCCUUGUUGAUGGAUCUUUACAGUUUUCUUACUUCUGUUGUAAAAAUUACAUUGCAUCACCGUCCAGUGAUAGUACCUCAGUGGUUCAGGCUGGCUGUUGGUUGUUGCAACUCCUUGUCUGUUGCACAUCUCAGUCACUUUUUAAUAGGAAAUGUUUUCACUUCUCUCCCGCUCCUUCAACACACACACACACACACGCACGUGCACACAUAAAGGAAUUCAGUGGGAGAACACACACGAACACACAGGGAAAUCCCACAGAACUCGACAAUGGGAUUUUGAGAUUAGAUGCUUUCAAAAGGGAGCAGGCUGUUGCCUUCUCAGAUUUUGUACAGGGUUGCAACAUCUGCUCCUCUGACAAAAGAAAUAUUUAAAAAUGCUGUGGAAACUAGGUUAGGCCAAACUUGAAAAGUUUUUCCUUCCCUCACUGUUGAAUUUGUAAAUAUAUUCCCUAUGCUUUUUUGUAAAUGCAAAAUGUCAGCAUAAAUGUGGAAUAAAAAUGGGCUGGUUAGCCUGUUGCUUUGGCUUCUCUAAAAUGGAGGAAAUAAAAUAGAAACUUAAAAUAGUGUGUUCAGGAAUGAAGCUUUUUUUUUUUUUUUUUUUUUGCCUUCAAGCAAAAGGUAAAAAAUAACUGCCUUGCUUUUUGUU
rnacentral:lncRNA from 1 species